rnacentral:rRNA from 1 species
UACGGGGGGGGCAAGCGUUGUCCGGAAUCAUUGGGCGUAAAGCGCGCGUAGGCGGCCCGGUAAGUCCGUUGUGAAAGUCAAAGGCUCAACCUUUGAACGCCGAUGGAUACUGCCGGGCUAGAGUCCGGAAGAGGCGAGUGGAAUUCCUGGUGUAGCGGUGGAAUGCGCAGAUAUCAGGAGGAACACCAAUAGCGAAGGCAGCUCGCUGGGACGGUACUGACGCUGAGGCGCGAAAGCGUGGGGAGCGAACAGG